rnacentral:rRNA from 1 species
UACGUAGGGACCAAGCGUUGUUCGGAUUUACUGGGCGUAAAGGGUGCGUAGGCGGCGCGGUAAGUCACUUGUGAAAUCUCUGAGCUUAACUCAGAACGGCCAAGUGAUACUGCAGUGCUAGAGUGUGGAAGGGGCAAUCGGAAUUCUUGGUGUAGCGGUGAAAUGCGUAGAUAUCAAGAGGAAAACCUGAGGUGAAGACGGGUUGCUGGGCCGACACUGACGCUGACAGCGCGAAAGCCAGGGGAGCAAACGGG